rnacentral:tRNA from 1 species
UUCAAAGUAGUUUAUAAAGAAUUGCGGUUUUGGGUACUGCUGGAACAACUUGGGUUGUCUUUGGAA